CGAACGCAGUAGCAAUACUGAGUGGCAGACGGGUGAGUAACAUGUGGGAAUCUGCCUUGUGGUUCAGGACAACAUUGGGAAACCGAUGCUAAUACUGGAUAAGCCCUUACGGGGAAAGUUUUAAUACCAAAAGAUGAGCCCGCAUUUGAUUAGUUUGUUGGUGAGGUAAUGGCUCACCAAGACUACGAUCCAUAGCUGGUUUGAGAGGAUGAUCAGCCACACUGGGACUGAGACACGGCCCAGACUCC
rnacentral:rRNA from 1 species